rnacentral:lncRNA from 1 species
CCCGUCAUAUGAAGCUACAUGAUGAACACGAGAACUGAAGAAUGAUGUUUGUUGUCCACACAUGAAGUGGUAAAAGCAGCUCCUGGAGUUUGUCUACUAAUUUCCUGCUGUGAAAAAUGAUCUUGAUAACCGCUUGAAAAAGCACAAAGAGAAACAAGAACCACUGACAGACCUGGACCCAGAUUACAUUGAAGAUGCUGAACUGUUGGCUGUUGCAGAUGUGCACUUCAG